GACGAACGCUGGCGGCGUGCCUAAUACAUGCAAGUCGAACGCUUCUUUUUCCACCGGAGCUUGCUCCACCGGAAAAAGAGGAGUGGCGAACGGGUGAGUAACACGUGGGUAACCUGCCCAUCAGAAGGGGAUAACACUUGGAAACAGGUGCUAAUACCGUAUAACAAUCAAAACCGCAUGGUUUUGAUUUGAAAGGCGCUUUCGGGUGUCGCUGAUGGAUGGACCCGCGGUGCAUUAGCUAGUUGGUGAGGUAACGGCUCACCAAGGCCACGAUGCAUAGCCGACCUGAGAGGGUGAUCGGCCACAUUGGGACUGAGACACGGCCCAAACUCCUACGGGAGGCAGCAGUAGUGAAUCUUCGGCAAUGGACGAAAGUCUGACCGAGCAACGCCGCGUGAGUGAAGAAGGUUUUCGGAUCGUAAAACUCUGUUGUUAGAGAAGAACAAGGAUGAGAGUAACUGUUCAUCCCUUGACGGUAUCUAACCAGAAAGCCACGGCUAACUACGUGCCAGCCGCCGCCGUAA
rnacentral:rRNA from 1 species